GUCCUGGCAGUAAACGGUGCGCGUUUGGUGUGGGAGGAUUCGACCCCUUCCGUGCCGGAGCUAACGCGUUAAACGCGCCGCCUGGGGAGUACGGUCGCAAGAUUAAAACUCAAAGAAAUUGACGGGGCCCGCACAAGCGGUGGAGUAUGUGGCUUAAUUCGAUGCAACGCGAAGAACCUUACCUAGCCUUGACAUGCAUCUCUAAGUCGGUGAAAGCCGGCGAGUGUAGCAAUACACCAUUUGCACAGGUGCUGCAUGGCUGUCGU
rnacentral:rRNA from 1 species